UUUAACAAUAUUUGUUCUUCCUCUCCAGGAGCAUGGAAGAAUGCAGCCCCUUUUAAUACACAGUGGAAAGCAUAAAGAUGUAAGAAAUCAUCAGGUGCUGUGGGAGCCUGGAGGACUGUCCUUUGAUCCAGCUUCAGAGAGGGGCAGGGGUUUCCUGGAAGAUAUAAAUAUCCAGAUAUCUCAUAAAGUGGAAUCAUCCAGGGGAGCCUGGCUCUCUCAGUGGGUAGAGCAUGUGACUCUUGAUCUCUGGAUUGUAUGUUCAAGCCCCACACUGGGUGUAGAGAUUACUUAAAAA